rnacentral:rRNA from 1 species
CAGCAGCCGCGGUAAUACGUAGGGUGCGAGCGUUAAUCGAAAUUACUGGGCGUAAAGCGAGCGCAGACGGUUAUUUAAGCAGGAUGUGAAAUCCCCGGGCUUAACCUGGGAACUGCGUUCUGAACUGGAUAGCUAGAGUGUGUCAGAGGGGGGUAGAAUUCCACGUGUAGCAGUGAAAUGCGUAGAGAUGUGGAGGAAUACCGAUGGCGAAGGCAGCCCCCUGGGCCAAUACUGACGCUCAUGCACGAAAGCGUGGGGAGCAAACAGGAUUAGAUACCCGUGUAGUCCCUGUCUCUUAUAC